UUGAAAAGUCAAAGAAAAUCAUCAAUCUCCCGAUCAUUUAGAUUCCUUUCAAAACAACAAUUCAACCACCUGUACCACUUGAGCGCAAUAAAGAAUCCUUAUUGGAUAGGGAAAGAUGGAGAAAGAUAUAAGGUGACUAAUUAAAAAAGGGUCUGGAAAGCAUCUUGUUAAAAAAUCUAUAAGUUGUAGCAUAGUCCAUUAAAAUUUUAGCAUCCAUCAAAUAUUAGUAUUGCAAUAUAAGAUCGGGUCAUCAGCAAACUUUAAAUGAGAGACCUCCACAUUGUGCUGACCAACUCUUAAAUCUUUCACUUCUCCUCUCCUGGUCGCACUAGUCAACAUCUUGCUCAGUAUAUCAAUAACCAGAGUGAAUAGAGAAGGCAACCACGGAUCCUCUAUCUAAGUCCUCUCGUUGACCGGAACCAAUCAUGAGGUUUUCCUUUUACAAUCACUGAGAAGGAACUAGAUGAAGGACAUCCUCGAAUCCAUUUUCUACAUCUCCGCCCCAAUCCUUUUCUCUCCAUUACUCUGUCUAAGAACCUCUAGUUGACUCUAUCAUAUGUUUUCUCAAUAUCCAAUUCUAGAUCUAACCCUUUCCGCCUAGUGGCUUAUGUGUACAACACUAGCUCAUCGGGCACAAGCUUCAAGGAUUUGUCUACCACUUGCAGAGGUACUUUGAUU
rnacentral:lncRNA from 1 species